rnacentral:lncRNA from 1 species
UUGUUUCUUUAUAAAAAGGCAUAAAAACCAGCCCAUUUCUCCCAUAGUGGUCGGCCAAACCAGAAGAGAAGAGAAACCAAGGAAGAACAAAUCCUAGGUGGGGAAAAUCAAAAAGAAAGUGUUGGAAUUCAAGGAUUUGAUCAAAUAAAGGUAAAAUUUCUUUGAUUUUGCUAGUGAUUUACCUUACCCAUGCAUUUCUCCUCAUUCUUCAUGGUUAAAUUACAUAUUUUCAUGAUGAAUUCAUGGCUGGUUGGAAUGGGUAUGGAGAGAGAAUGAUGUUAGAUUGAUUUGAUUCUAAGUUAUGUUAGUGUUUUUAGUUAGUUAAGCAUGUUUAGAAACAAAACAACAAGAAAAGAAUCUAUUUUCCCCAUGAACCUUCAAUGGCCGAACCCUAUGUGAAGUGUAGAAGUAAUGAAUUGAUUUUGUGAUCAAGUGAAUUGGUUGAAAAAUUGAUGAAAUGAUGAUUUAUGGUGAGAAAAUUGAAUGGAAAAAUUUUUAGUGAUAAUGCACCACAAUGGCUGAAAUUUUUAAGAAGAAUUGUGAGGGUUGUUAGGUGAAUUUUAGAUUAUUGGAAUUGUAUUUAGUGAAUUGAAAUAUUAGAAAUGAAAUGGAGCAAUUUGGAGCCAAAUCGGACACAAUUGUCAUUUAAUCGGGUAAUAGGGCGAAUUAGGUCAGCACCGCAUUUAAGCGGUAAUCAGAUAAGUUACAUAUCAUAUCAUGCAUAUACACCGAGCCUGAAAUGAUUUUAUAAUGGUCAAGCAUUGAUGUGGUGAAUUAUGUAUUGUACAUUGUGGAUAGGUGGUGAGUAAAUUACAUUGGUAAAAGUACAGAGAUUGUGCUUGGAGACUGAGAUUAGGAGUACAUCGACUCCUAGAACUGUGAGUAAACUUAUUAUCGUCUUAAUUAUCUAGAGUAGUUUAUACAAUUGUGUGAUUUUAUGAAAAAUGGGUUUAAAUGGUAAAUUGCUAUGUCUUAGGAGAAAUUGUGAUUUUUUAAAAUGAUUUUAUAAAUUUUCUGAAAAAUUGAAUACUGGUUUUGAAAAGAGAGUAAUUGGAGACUGCCUGAUUGUGUUGUAAAUUUAUGAUUUUAAAUUGAAUGGCUUAUAACAAUAUAUGAGCAUGAAUGGCUAAACUGAUUUUUAGUGUUAGAAUUAUUUGUACUGUGUAUUCAGCCUUGAGAGGCUAGGUUGUAAUAAAUUGCCAUGUCAUGCAGAAAAAGAUUUUAUAAAUCAAGUGGUAGAUAAAAUAAUCCAUAGUCACUGCAGUGGUGGGGGUUUUCAUGGACUGCCUAUGAGAGGGACGCAGUAACCCAAUUAUAUAUUUACCUCUGAGGGGAGAUAUUGGAUGAAGUAUCUCCUAAGGUAAAGAUUUGAGUACAUUUCACGUGGACCACCGCGUGAGAGUGAGACUCAGCCAACGCCAAGGAACGGCUAUAUUUUCUAAAUAAAAACAUGAUUUAUGAGUAUAUAACUUUUUAAUAGCCUUGGUGGAUUCGGUUGGGAUAACCCUCGAUCAAGGUAUCCCUGAUAACUGAGAAUGAGAAUGAUUUUUAGCACGAGCCACGCUUUUUAGGAAAUCAUAAGCCUAGUUGUUUGUUUGGUUGAAAUGGGUUGAAAGGUAAUGAAAUUACAAUAUGAUGACUUAUUUUAAUUCGUCUCCAUUUACUCGCCUUUAGAUAGUUUAGAUGGUGCCUGUUUACUCAUUGGCAUUUUAUAAUCUCACCACCCUCAUUUCCUCACGUUUCAGGCUCGGAGAAUUCCAUAGUUAGCUGACUUUGACAAGGACCUUCAUUUGGACUUGAAUCGGCAAAAGUUGUAGGUUUUCAGCUUUCGAUACAUUUUGGUUAGAUGUGGGCCCACGUGUCGCUGUAAAAGUAAUUUUAUGUUUUGGUUAUUUGCUUUUUAGUAUAUAUGAAUAUAAUUAACUUUUACGCUAUAAGAAUUAUUUACCGAUAGCUUUAUAAAAAAUUAUUUUACAAGAAAAUAGUUUAUUUUAUUGAAUAUUUUUAUUAUAUUCAAAUGGUCAAAUUUUCACUUCGAAUGAACGUUUUAGAUCCUUAAUUUGUUUUUAAAUCACUAAAUAUAUAUUUUCUGCUUACCUACUAUAUUUUUAGCAAGUUUUGAGAUUUUCAACGAAAAAUGACGAAAAUGCCCCUGUGAGCCAGAAAUCAAUAUGUUAUGUUCUGAUUUGGAAAUGACUCGUAAUCCUUCGUAUUACGAUAUUUGAUAACUAUUGCUCACCGGGGAAGUGUGCAAGCUAAUAUGAGAGCCUUGAGAGGUUUCAAUCGACAUUCGGGGUGAAGAAUG